rnacentral:rRNA from 1 species
AUUGAACGCUGGCGGCAGGCCUAACACAUGCAAGUCGAACGAGUGGCGGACGGGUGCGUAAUGUCUGGGAAACUGCCCGAUGGAGGGGGAUAACUACUGGAAACGGUAGCUAAUACCGCAUACCCUCGGAUGUGCCCAGAUGGGAGUAGCUAGGCGGUGGGGUAACGGCUCACCUCGGCGACGAUCCCUAGCUGUUCUGAGAGGAUGACCCGCCACACUGGAACUGGAACACGGCCCAGACUCCUACGGGAGGGAGCAGUGGGGAAUAGUGCACAAUGGGCGCAAGCCUGAUGCAGCAAUGCCGCGUGUAUGAAGAAGGCCUUCGGGUUGUAAAGUACUGUAAGCGAGGAGGCGUUACUCGCAGAAGAAGCACCGGCUAACUACGUGCCAGCAGCCGCGGUAAUUC